rnacentral:tRNA from 1 species
AGGAAUUGUGCCCGAAUAUUAAGGAUCACUUUGAUAGAGUGAAUUAUGGGGGUUAAAGUCCCUUCAACUCCUU